GAUGAACGCUGGCGGCGUGCUUAACACAUGCAAGUCGAACGGGAAACCUUUUAUUGAAGCUUCGGCAGAUUUAGCUGGUUUCUAGUGGCGGACGGGUGAGUAACGCGUGGGUAACCUGCCCUAUACAGGGGGAUAACAACCAGAAAUGAUUGCUAAUACCGCAUAAGCGCACAGGACCGCAUGGUCCGGUGUGAAAAACUCCGGUGGUAUAGGAUGGACCCGCGUUGGAUUAGCUUGUUGGUGGGGUAACGGCCCACCAAGGCGACGAUCCAUAGCCGGCCUGAGAGGGUGAACGGCCACAUUGGGACUGAGACACGGCCCAGACUCCUACGGGAGGCAGCAGUGGGGAAUAUUGCACAAUGGGGGAAACCCUGAUGCAGCGACGCCGCGUGAAGGAAGAAGUAUCUCGGUAUGUAAACUUCUAUCAGCAGGGAAGAUAGUGACGGU
rnacentral:rRNA from 1 species